rnacentral:misc_RNA from 1 species
AAGAGAUCCAGGGACGAGUGGAAAAACGCGAGCCACUGAUUUUUGGGAGCACCACAGCUCAGAGAUUAAAUCGGCGGCUGCCGGUUGAGGUCAUCAGUGAUCCUUUAAGUGAUGGAGAGAGUGACCUCUAUGAGGUUGGGACCGACAUGCAGAAGCAGCUCAGAAACCAUCAGGUCAAUGAUGGCAGAUUGCGUACCGCUGGUGAGGCUUCUCAACGGAGUACUAAAGAGGAUUGGGCAGAGUGGAUGAGACAUUUCAGCAUUGAACUUUUGAAAGAAUCACCUAGUCCAGCAUUAAGAACAUGUGCAAGACUGGCUCAACUACAGCCUUUUGUUGGGCGGGAGCUGUUUGCUGCAGGUUUUGUUAGUUGCUGGUCACAACUUAACGAGGCCAGUCAAAGGCAGCUCGUACGGAGUUUAGAAAUGGCGUUUUCUUCUCCAAAUAUCCCACCUGAAAUUCUUGCUACACUUCUGAACUUGGCGGAGUUUAUGGAACAUGAUGAGAGACCCCUUCCUAUAGAUAUCCGUCUGCUGGGUGCUCUAGCGGAGAAGUGUCGAGCAUUUGCAAAG